UAACACGUAGGAGACGAGCGUUAUCCGGAUUUACUGGGUGUAAAGCGCGUGCAGGCGGUAUGGAAAGUUGGAUGUGAAAGCUCCCGGCUUAACUGGGAGAGGUCGUUCAAAACUACCAAACUAGAGUACAGCAGAGGGGAGUGGAAUUCCGAGUGUAGCGGUAAAAUGCAUAGAUAUUCGGAAGAACACCAGUGGCGAAGGCGGCUCCCUGGGCUGAAACUGACGCUCAGACGCGAAAGCUAGGGUAGCGAACGGGAUUAGAGACCCCGGUAGUCCUAGCCGUAAACGAUGUGGACUUGGCGUAGGCGGGUUGAAAUCCAUCUGUGCCGAAGCAAACGCGAUAAGUCCACCACCUGGGGACUACGGCCGCAAGGCUAAAACUUAAAGGAAUUGACGG
rnacentral:rRNA from 1 species